rnacentral:rRNA from 1 species
UGGGGAAUAUUGGACAAUGGGCGAAAGCCUGAUCCAGCCAUGCCGCGUGUGUGAAGAAGGUCUUCGGAUUGUAAAGCACUUUAAGUUGGGAGGAAGGGCAGUAAGCGAAUACCUUGCUGUUUUGACGUUACCGACAGAAUAAGCACCGGCUAACUCUGUGCCAGCAGCCGCGGUAAUACAGAGGGUGCAAGCGUUAAUCGGAAUUACUGGGCGUAAAGCGCGCGUAGGUGGUUCGUUAAGUUGAAUGUGAAAGCCCCGGGCUCAACCUGGGAACUGCAUCCAAAACUGGCGAGCUAGAGUAGGGUAGAGGGUGGUGGAAUUUCCUGUGUAGCGGUGAAAUGCGUAGAUAUAGGAAGGAACACCAGUGGCGAAGGCGACCACCUGGGCUCAUACUGACACUGAGGUGCGAAAGCGUGGGGAGCAAACAGG